rnacentral:lncRNA from 1 species
GAAAGACCUGCUGUAUCAGGAGCCCCCUGCUGAGCCCCAUCCACUGAAACCACAGAAUCCCUUGGGCUCAGAAACUCAUGUAUGAAUCUGGCCUCAAACUUGAUGCAUAGCCAAGGAUGACCUUGAACUUCUGCCUCUGCUUCCUGGGUGUUGGGGAUGGAAACCAGACUUUUGUGUAUACUAGGAUCACCAGUAUCCCCAGCUGCCUCUGAAUUCACUAUGUAAGCCCAAUGCAAGCCCUGGCAGAUGUCUUCAACACCAGAGUGACACUCAGCCUGAAGGCCAGGAUUGAAGGCUGGAAGUACAGGGGCAAGAAAUACCUUUGAAAAUACUCCAGUGUCCAAACUGCUCACUGGUGUUGCUGCCUUGUGAGCCAGGGCACGAGGCUUUGUUGAGGUCACUACUUUUCAUUCCCUCCAAGAUGGACAAGAUGUUUGUUUUGUGCACAGUAAGUGGAACACAGGGCCUCCGGCAUGGUGCUUGUAUGUUCUCUUCAGAAACUAAGGAAUGGAGCAGUGUCUUGAACGUGCUACACAAGCCCCCUAACAGCCAAGCGAAUCCAGCAGCUCUACAGACAUCCUUUCACUAAGCAGUUAUUUCUCCUCCGAUGUUCUGAUCGCUGUGGGCAGCCUCCAAACACUUUUUGAAAAAGCUGGAGAGAAAGGCAAGCUUGAAAAGGGGAAUGC